rnacentral:lncRNA from 1 species
CGACCUAGAUUGAUUCGGGGAGGGUAUUUAUACGUCACAUUUCAGGAAAUCAUAACCCUAACCGCACAAAUCCUCAUUGGAGAAUAAGAAGAAUGGUGGCCAGAAAAGAAACCGACCGUCGUCACUUCCACAUCGGAGCCACCACCGACAUUGAAGAGGUAAUUUUUUUCUCCAUUCUCGUUUGAAAUUGAUUCUAAACCUCCCCACAUCUAUAUUGGAGCUAAAAGGCCGAAAGAUAAGACAAAAAACGUAAGUGGAGCUCGGCCGAGCCACUGCGGCCACGACCCAAAACCCC